AUGUUGGUUUACUCAGAAGUAGCAAAAUUUGUUAAGUUUGUGGACUACCAGAGUUGUAUACUUUAUCCUUCUAUUCGUUAACGUGAUGAAGAAAGAAGACGUCACCUGAGGGCUAAAGUUCGGCGAUGCUCCAAAGAAAGACGAUGUAAUGAUUUCCGUGGGAAACAAAGUUUUGCCCAUUAAUGAAUCGACCACGACAUCUUCAUCCUCAAAAAACCCGAAUUCGAUUCACGUUUUUUAAACCAAGUUUGUAUGACAUUGAUUUUUUUAGUUAUCUGUUGUCUAAUGGAUAUCUUUUGUCUUUUCUUUUGGUGUAUCAGGCUUGAAGCUCUAAACGAAAAGAGGACUUGGGUGGUGUAGCUGGUUAACUUAGCUGAUAAAGAAAGAGAAAGUCUAGAGGUUAUAACUUAUAACAAGCCUGUUUGAUUAUAUAGGUUGGAGAAAAGAGUUUAAUGAUACAGAUUUAGCAAGCCAAUGUACCCAUAGGUACAAAAUAUACGUUGAAGGAAACGCAUGGUGUGAAUGUGUAUAGCUGACGCUUGACAGUUUGUUUUCGGUAAUUUACGAAUUUGGUAGUAUUUAAAAAGCAAACAUCUGCGUUUUGCUUUUAUUGUUUUCAUUAUAUUGAGCCGCCAAUAAUGGAUGUUAAACCGUCAUUUAUGGAAUAGUUUAAAUAUUUAAUGACCUAUUUAUUU
rnacentral:lncRNA from 1 species